rnacentral:rRNA from 1 species
AUGUCAGAGAAGUUUGAGAUGUCUAUGAUGAGUGAACUCAAAUUCUUUCUCGGUUUGCAAAUCAAGCAAACUAAGGAAGGUACAUUUGUCUCUCAAACAAAGUACACCAAGGACUUAUUCAAGAAGUUCAAUAUGCAAGAAUGCAAAGGUAUGUCUACACCCAUGCCUACUAGUGGACAUAAUGAUUUGACCAAAGAUGGUGAACCAGUUGAUCAAAAGGUUUAUCGCUCUAUGAUUGGUUCAUUGUUAUACCUAUGUGCUUCAUGUCCCGAUAUUAUGCUAAGUGUGUGCAUGUGUGCACGAUAUCAAGCUGCUCCUAAAGAAUGUCAUCUUAAGGCUGUGAAAAGGAUAGUGAGAUAUUUAAUCCAUACACCAAAUUUUGGCAUCUGGUAUCCUAAGAGGUCUUCUUUUGAUCUUGUUGGCUAUUCCGACUCGGAUUAUGCCGGAGACAAGAUUGAUAGAAAGUCCACUUCGGGUACUUGUCAAUUUCUUGGUAGGUCUCUUGUGUCUUGA